rnacentral:rRNA from 1 species
CUAACAUUGUGAAGGCGCAUGGUUUUCAACUGAAAGACUAUAAAUCCUCUCACUCAUAGAUGGAUGCCCCGUUGCUUUAGUGUAGUUGGUAAGGUAAUAGGUUUUACAAGGGAACGAUGCAUAGUCGACCUCAGAGGGUUAUCGGCCACACCGGAACUGAGACACGGUCCAGACUCCUACGGGAGGCAGCCGUAGGGAAUGUUCCGCAAUGGGCGAAAGCCUGACGGAGCAACGCCGCGUGAGUGAUGAAGGUCUUCGGAUCGUAAAACUGUGUUCUUAGGGAAGAACAUAUGUGUAAGUAACCGUGCACAUCUUGACGGUACCUAAUCAGAAAGCCACGGCUAAGUACGUGCCAGCAGCCGCGGUAAUACGUAGGUGGCAAGCGUUAUCCGGAAUUAUUGGGCGUAAAGCGCGCGUAGGCGGUUUUUUAAGUCUGAUGUGAAAGCCCACGGCUCAACCGUGGAGGGUCAUUGGAAACUGGAAAACUUGAGUGCAGAAGAGGAAAGUGGAAUUCCAUGUGUAGCGGUGAAAUGCGCAGAGAUAUGGAGGAACACCAGUGGCGAAGGCGACUUUCUGGUCUGUAACUGACGUUGAUUCGAACGAUGCUUC